AAAGUAGUUAUGGUUUCUAUUCCAUAGAGAGCUGUGUAUCGCAUGCAGUUCUGUAAACAAUGUUCGGGAGAAGGUGUUCAAACAAUGAAUUGCAUUCCGAACACAAAGUCAUUUUAGAGAAAGAGUGAGAGAGAGAGAGAGAGAGAGAGAGAGAGGAGGGGAAAAACAACUCGAAAUGCAUUAAUUUCAUCGCAAAUCUUGUCAGAUAUGCCACAAUUCCUGUCUAGGAAUAGCAAAGGCGACUACGGUACAAGAGGGCGGUGGUGGUCACGAGAGCGGAACCAAGCAUCCUCCGGCCUCUGCUUUUCGACCCUGCUCUUCGCAAGCAUGAGCUGCUUGCUACUAAAAAUACGGGUGCAGUAUCGCAUUCUAGCACCAGUUUCUCACUGCAUCCGAGUGACCUGCACCAGACAGCCCCCCUCUCUCAUUCUGACCACAGAAAUGGAUGUUCGUGUUUGAAAUGGAGCUCGCAACCUUCACCGUUGGAUUGUGCCACAAUCCCUGCUGCCAAUCACAACUCUGGCUUUCUGAGUCGACGAAGGCAUGCUGCAUUGUGAGAUGGCUGUGUGGUUAAUGAAGUAGGUGGAGCGCAUUAACGCAUCUGAUCCUGUUACAGUUUCCGAUGUUACUUAUCCGUCUCCGUCUGGAUAGACCAGGUGAAUCUGUUGCCAUUUCGAGACUGGUUGAGUGUUUUACGCUGUCAAUUCAACGUUGAGGAGAAAUCCAUCUUUUGCUUUCCCACUAGCUUGACUCCAGCUUUGCUUCAAGCUCGAGGUUAGGGUUUGAAAAGAUCAUCCAUCAAUUGCACCGAGAGAGUUACAGCAUGUAAUUUGUCAUGCAGAUCAAAUCUCUGUGUAUUUUGUCUUUGUUUCAUGGAGAGAAACUUUUCAAUGUUGUGGUUGCGCCUUUGGAUCCAGGUCUUACAAACAAAUAAGCAGCGCUUUGCCAUUUUUAAACAAAAAAGUUGAGGGUUUGGUUCUCUUACGAAAUCUUUGAUUGAAUCUUCUCGAAGAAAGAAGAGGUAAAUGUAGAUGGUGCAUGACUUACGAGCCAGAUGAUAGUUAUCUUUUGCCACUUGAUUUGCCCAUUAGAUGCGAGCGCAUGUGCUUUAACUUUAUUAAACUCGGUAUUUAUUAGUGUUUCUUUUUGUUUUGAGGGGGGCUUGCAAGUAAGGAGAAUGAACUUGGAGAACCAAAUGAAGCGUCGAGACCAACACCAGAGCAAAUUUGAAGGGAGGAAGGGUUUCUGAUCACAGCUUGUUGAGCUCGAAAGGCUGCGGCAACAUCGUCCACUUGGAUACGAAGAUUCUUUUGGGAAUUGGUUCAUGCACUCUUGUCUGGUGGUGGGGCAUUGACCACUGGAGGUUCGUUGCAAGGAGACGAUGCUCUCACUCGAUGGGCGUGAACCUGGAAGUGAGCUCACAACCUUAACAGACAAACCCAGUGAGCAGGAAAAAUAGCACUUGUGUUCCUUGGUGAAAGGAAAUUGAUGUGCAUUAAUUACUUCGAGUAGAAGCAGAGAAGAAGAAUUACGAGCGAAAGGAAAAAAAAAAAAAAAAAAAAAAAAAAAGCAAUCUAAAACAAGUUCUCAGAUCCAUUGCCUUCAACGCGAAUUACAUUGCAUCAAUUUCACGUUUGUGCUUGCGACAGUACUUUUGUUCCUCAUUCACUAUCGAAUUUCGAACAUGUAUAUUGUUACUUA